rnacentral:rRNA from 1 species
CCUACGGGAGGCAGCAGUGGGGAAUAUUGGGCAAUGGGCGCAAGCCUGACCCAGCAACGCCGCGUGAAGGAAGAAGGCCCUCGGGUUGUAAACUUCUUUUAUCAAGGACGAAACAAAUGACGGGACUUGAUGAAUAAGCCACGGCUAACUACGUUCCAGCAGCCGCGGUAAUACGUAGGGGGCAAGCGUUAACCGGAUUUACUGGGUGUAAAGGGCGGGUAGGCCGGACUGCAAGGCAGAUGCGAAAACCAUGGGACCAACCCAUGGUCUGCAGUGGAAACUGUAGUUCUUGAGUGUUGGAGAGGCAGGCGGAAUUCCGUGUGUAGCGGUGAAAUGCGUAGAUAUACGGAAGAACACCAGUGGCGAAGGCGGCCUGCUGGACAAUAACUGACGCUGAGGCGCGAAAGCGUGGGGAGCAAACAGGAUUAGAUACCCCAGUAGUC